CCCAGUUACCAGAUUAGGGAACUGUCUCCUGACUUGCCAGCAUAAGGAUGCAAACUAGGGCAUAACACCUUAUCCAUCAGUCUGUCCCUUUCUUUUCUCAAAUUCCAUGAUGACUGGCCUUCAGUUGUGCCUUGGAGAUGGAAGUUGCUACUGACGGCUGCAUGCAGUGGAGUGUUGGUCUAUGCAGAUCAACAGAAGUGUUGGAAACUUCUAUCCUGCCCUGAAUUUUACUACUUAGGGAUCAUGGAACUGACAAGUGUCAUUGUGAAGAACUGUGAGCCAGCCAUUCUAAACCAAAUUCUGAACCUUGUCAAGAACCUCCCCUACAGCCUGGAUAAUCAUGAGAAGAUCCCAGCCAGGAGCUUCUAUGCAGAGCUCCUCUGGCACUGAUCAGUGGCUGAGACUCUGGUGCAAGACUUCUGGGCAAUCUAACCAGCUGGUUUAAGGAACCCAAUCUCAUCAAGGAAAUCAGGCUUCAUGGGAUCAGGAACCUGGCACUGCACCCAGGAAAAGUAAGAGUGGGGGACCAAAUGGGAAUCAAGUGUCCGUCUCUGAACCACUUAAUGUACCUCCCUUGGGUGUUUUAAUUACCAGAGGCUUAGUUUAUUCCCCACCCCUCAUUCUAGGUCAGUACAACAUCCAGUCUGUGGACUUAUACAGCCUGGCCGUCAGGCCUCCCACACACGCUGAGCACCAGCCCCACCACGUUCUCAGUGCAUCCAGCCCCUCGAUUCCUUGUGUCUGUUUCUCUUAGGUACCACCUCUUUUCUCAGAUAAAUCCCUGUCCCUAAAGUGUUGCAUGAUCCCCAGGUGGUAAGUGAUCCUAUACCUUCUUCCAAAUAGUCUUUGAUGAGCCUGGUUUCAUUCUUGAAAGACCUCCUGAAGGAUGAUUGGCGAGUGAGAGUUCAGGUGGUAAAGGCCCUAUAGAUAAUCAUCUACCAUGAAUAGAAAGGACACCAAGCUGGUCUUUGGUAGCAUUGCCAAGCAACUGUGUCCACUCAUCAAUGACGUACGGGCCUAAGUCCCUGGGAGUAGUUGGAACAGUAUGGGCUGGAGCUGCAGAUGAUCUGUUGAAGCUGAAUUAAGGAUUCUGGGGCUGGGCUACAGGACUGUGGUGGAAGGUCGAA